GACGAACGCUGGCGGCGUGCUUAACACAUGCAAGUCGAACGGUAAGGCCCUUCGGGGUACACGAGUGGCGAACGGGUGAGUAACACGUGGGUGAUCUGCCCUGCACUUCGGGAUAAGCCUGGGAAACUGGGUCUAAUACCGGAUAGGACUCCUGGCUUCAUGGUUGGGGGUGGAAAGCUUUUGCGGUGUGGGAUGGGCCCGCGGCCUAUCAGCUUGUUGGUGGGGUAAUGGCCUACCAAGGCGACGACGGGUAGCCGGCCUGAGAGGGUGACCGGUCACACUGGGAGUGAGAUACGACCCAGACUCCUACGGGAGGCAGCAGUGGGGAAUAUUGCACAAUGGGCGCAAGCCUGAUGCAGCGACGCCGCGUGAGGUAUGACGGCCUUCGGGUUGUAAACCUCUUUCAGCUAUGACGAAGCGCAAGUGACGGUAGUAGCAGAAGAAGGACCGGCCAACUACGUGCCAGCCGCCGCUGUAA
rnacentral:rRNA from 1 species